rnacentral:tRNA from 1 species
GGAAAGCACUGUGGCUCAGGGGUUGAGCACCUGCUUGGCAUGGAAAAGUUCCCUGGUUCAAUCCCUGGUAUAUCCA